AGUGAACGCUGGCGGCGUGCUUAACACAUGCAAGUCGGACGAGAACGGAUUAUAGCUUGCUAUAAUUGUCAGCUAAGUGGCGCACGGGUGAGUAAUGUAUAGGUAAUAUGCCUCUUACUAAGGGAUAACGAAUGGAAACGUUUGCUAAUACCUUAUACUCCUUAUUAACAUAAGUUAAUAAGGGAAAGAUUUAUAUGGUAAGAGAUUAGCCUGUAUUGUAUCAGUUAGUUGGUGGGGUAAUGGCUUACCAAGACUAUGACACAUAACUGGUUUGAGAGGAUGAUCAGUCACACUGGAACUGGGACACGGUCCAGACUCCUACGGGAGGCAGCAGUGGGGAAUAUUGCACAAUGGACGAAAGUCUGAUGCGGCAACGCCGCGGGGAGGAUGACACAUUUCGGUGCGUAAACGCCUGUUAUAUGAGAAGAUAAUGACGGUAUUAUAUGAAUAAGCACCGGCUAACUCCGUGCCAGCAGCCGCGGUAA
rnacentral:rRNA from 1 species